rnacentral:lncRNA from 1 species
GAUCGGCUGGUUGGAAGGUAGUGAGUUAUCUCAAUUGAUUAUUCACAGUCCGCUACAGAUUGAACUCCUGUUCUAUACUUUUUCCACUUCUCACUUCUGCACAUGACUAAGGAUAGAACAAGACAAAGCCCAUCUACCCUGGGAUUCCUCAGCCAGUUUCUAGCCCCUAUGCUCGAAUGAUGGUCCAGGAUGAAUAUAGAGUAAGACAAAGUCCAAGUACCCCAGGAUUCCCCUAAGGUGCUUUCAAUCACAACUGCAAGGCCACUGGUCUUGGGAUGAGAGAUC